AUACAGGGCAAAGUCAGUGGGAUCAGCCAUGUGGAAUUAGCAUUUCUUUGACCACAAGGUGCCAUUAUGGCUGAAGUGUGCUGACUAAGCAGUGCUCACACCAUGAAGACAAGAAUGGUGAGCGUGUCAGG
rnacentral:lncRNA from 1 species